AUUGAACGCUGGCGGCAUGCCUUACACAUGCAAGUCGAACGGCAGCACGGGUGCUUGCACCUGGUGGCGAGUGGCGAACGGGUGAGUAAUACAUCGGAACGUACCUUAUCGUGGGGGAUAACGCAGCGAAAGUUGCGCUAAUACCGCAUACGCCCUGAGGGGGAAAGCGGGGGACCGUAAGGCCUCGCGCGAUUAGAGCGGCCGAUGUCUGAUUAGCUUGUUGGUGAGGUAAAAGCUCACCAAGGCGAUGAUCAGUAGCUGGUCGGAGAGGACGAUCAGCAACACUGAGACUGAGACACGGCCCAGACUCCUACGGGAUGCAGCAGUGGGGUAUUUUGGACAAUGGGGGCAACCCUGUUCAAGCUAUGCUGCGUGAGUGAAGAAGGCCUACGGGUUGUAAAGCUCUUUCGUUAGGGAAGAAACAGCAGCUCUAACACAGUCGGCGAAUGACGGUACCUGAAGAAUAAGCAUCGGCUAACUACGUGCCAGCAGCCGCAGUAA
rnacentral:rRNA from 1 species